rfam:Stegodyphus mimosarum contig78873, whole genome shotgun sequence.
UCUGUGAUCGUAUAAUGCUUAGUGCAUUGCGUUGUGGCCUUAAUAACCCAGGUUCGAAUCCUGGUUACGGCA